UUUUAUCUUUCUACGAUGUGAUUUUAAGGUCAGCUGACCACUCUGUUUGCAUGUUUGACCGCCGGAACUUAACUUCUGAUGGAGUUGGUUCUCCUGUUCACAAAUUUGAAGAACACAAAGCUCCUGUUCUAUGCGUCCAGUGGUGUCCGGACAAGUCUUCCGUCUUUGGGAGCUCAGCAGAGGAUGGCUAUGUAAAUAUCUGGGAUUAUGAACAGGAUGGU